rnacentral:lncRNA from 1 species
CCGAAUGGUGAAAAGGGGAAAAUUACUGCAUUGUGAUCAUUAAGGAUUCUCCAACCAUGUUCUGGGCAGAAUUAGCACAGAAAGGUUUGGUAGGAUUUCACUGGCCACCAGCAUCAUGACCAUCAGGGCAGUUCAUCAAAACAUUUAAAUCAAAGAGCAAGACGAUGUGAAACAAAUACUGGCAAAACCUCCCACCUUGGUGUUCUUUUAUAAACUGGUCUAACUUGUUAUAAUGGUACAUUUGACCUCAAGCCUUUGAAACUAACAAGCCGGGGUUUACGGCCAGCAGGGAGGACUGCAAAUACAGGCCUUGCCUUAAAAUUCCCGGUUGUGUCUGCCCAGGAGCUGUUGGCACCACAUAGACGGGGCGGGCUGGGUGCCAGAGCGGCCUGCCUGUUCCCGGCUACAGAUUAUGAUGUCUGUGCAGCUGCCUUUCAUUCACAGCUUCCCUGAAUGGUGCCAAAGUUAAUUCCUCCAGGAAUAGCCCCACCAGUCACAAGGAAGGGGGGUAAUGCCCAGGAUGCCCCCUUCAUUCUCACUCCUGGUGCGGGCUUGCUGCCAUCAACAGCCAAAGGGAGAAGUCAGGCAGCAGAAAAGCUUGGGAGGCCCUGGAAACCCCCUAAGCUUCUCCACAACAGUGCCGGUCUUAUCUGUUGCAGCCACGGCGAGAGUCCCACAUCAUCCAUGUGAAGCAGCUCUAUUAGCAGGUGUCUGAAGAAGGUUGCAGGUGCGAGCAGGUAGAAGGAAAGCACACAGAAGCUGCGGGAUGCACACACAAAAUGGGUAAAAGGGAUCCCUGGAGGUCUGGGCAGAGCACCAGGAGUGUCCUGGGGUGCUCUUACCCUCCUAUUGGACAGAUGAGUAAAGUGAGGUACAGGGACAUUAAGUAACUUGCCCAACAUUAAAGAGCUUUAGUUUGGAUGCCUUGAUUUGGAACUUCUGGCCACUAGAACUGUGAGAGAAUAAAAUGUGUUGUUCUAGGCCACCCUGCCAGUGGUACUUUAUUACAGCAGCCACUGAAAACUCAGGCAGGAGGGAUCUGUGGUGACGGACUUGGAGGCGUGGUUGCAAGGGUUGUUUCACUGAACAGACACAGCAGGGGCAGCUGCUGGGGUAUUGAGGUCGAGGUCAAACACGGUCACUGCUGGAGCAAUUCUGUAAUCAGCCAUGGUUAGCUGAAACCUCAUUCUCUAUGCAAACCCCAAAUGGCUGUUUUCCCUUUUGAACCUCAAGAACACACGCUAGAAAUCAGUGCUCCCUGUCAGCCAGCCUCUUAUGGUGAGAUUUCCAGGUCUGGUGGCUUAUUGCACCAAUAAGCUAAUAAGGAGAUUGGCAAUGCCAAACACACAUCAGGGAGCAUCUGUCCUCCCACUGUGCACCCCUGUUCCAGGUCACUAGGCUUGAGAAGUCACCCAGAACACAGGAAACCCAGUGGCCUGCCAGACUUGCAGCCCAGGGAGAGGGAAACUGGGUGUCUUGGAAACUCCUCCCUGCUCCUUCAAGUUCACUCAUAGCAGGGAAGCCAGGGCCCCUUGAGUCCCUAGAGUAGUCAAAUUCACAGAGACAGAAAGUAGAACGGGAGUCGCCAAGGCCUGUGGGGAGAGGGAAGGUGAAGUUGUUUAAUUGGCACAGUUUCCAUUUUGGAAGAUGGAAAAAAGGUCUGGAGAUGGAUGCUGGUGAUGGCAGCGUAACACUGAGAAUGGUUUUUUUGUUGUUGUUUUUAUUGUAUUGUAUUGUAUUGUAUUGUAUUGUAUUGUAUUGUAUUGUAUUGUAUUGUAUUGUAUUGUAUUGAGACAGAGCCUCACUCUGUCUCCCAGACUGGGGUGCAGUGACACAGUCUCGGCUCACUACAACCUCCGCCUCCCGGGUUCAAGCGAUUCUCUUGCCUCAGUCUCCCAAGUAGCUGGCAUUACAGGCACCCGCCACC